GCUAAUUGCCGAGGUCCUCUUCCAGGAUUGGCUGUCCCCUCAUAACCAUAAGAUAAUUAAAACAAGGGGGGGGGGCAGAGUGAAAAAAAAACUUUAAAAAAUCAUCAAGAGGUUAAUGCAAGUGUUUAACAGAUGCUACUCUAUUAAAAUAUUUCCCCCCAAGUCUCAAAUAUUGAAGAAUCUUAAUCAGGGACAUCAGCCCCAAUGGAGACUUCAGAAGAUUUCAAAGUGCGGGCACCUCGAUUCCCCGAAACUUUGGUGUGGCUGGUAUCCGUGUUCCCCUGGUUUAACUAGCCUGUUUGAAGACACAGUUCAUGCUUAGGAAAGUACAACCGAAACUAGUCCUCCCCCUACUCCUGAGGGUCUUCACUUUCCUGAUCUACAUCUGCCUGUGACUUCAGAAAGAAACUUCACGUUGGCCAAGGUCUGUUGGCCUACCUAUAGUACAGGGCUCUACAAAGACCCAAGAUUACCAUGAGUGUCGCCUUGAAGCCUUGGAUUUUCACUCCUGAAGGAAUAAGUUUUGGCUUAGGGCUUGACCAACCUGCAGUUAGAGAUGACAACAGGUGAUGAAAGAGCGACUCCUGCAUCAUUCCCAGUCGUGGGUCUGGUGCUCCUUAACUUGCCAGCAUCCUUGGCAAACAAGUCAUCCGUUUGCCUCUCCCGUGUUGGGUUGGAGAAUUCUCCCCUUUUCUUUGCUUGUAGGCCCAAGCUAAAUGCCCAAGGAAGUCUUUCUAGGCAUCUACCCCUUUCCCUCCCCCAAAGGGUAGAUCUGUUUAUGAACUCCUUUCUGGUGUUCUCACUAGUAUUCCCUUUGUAGUUCUCUGGGCACAAAUCUGUCACCUCCUUCCUCUGUGGAUUCCUUGACAACCCAGUUAACGAACUGCAGCCAAAAAAAUUCCUCAAGCGGUCUUCCGAAAAGAGAUUCAGAGAAAUGGAGUACAGUGCUGCAACCACAAUUGGACUGGCUUCCUUUUCUCUUUAAAGUGAAGAGAGCUGGUAAAGGGGUUGGGAGUGGUUUACCUCCAAGCCUCUGGGAGAACUGGGGAAAGAUUCUGCCAGAUCAAUUGGGCCUGCAGCAGGCCUACUUCAGCCUGGCCCAGAUGAUACCUGUGUCCGGCAUCCUAAGCUCCAGUCCGUGCUGGAUAGGGCUUCCUGGUUUUCUACAAACUGACUGUGUGACCCGAUUCAGCCUCUCUAAACCUUAGUUUCACUGUCAGAACAAUGGGGAUGAUAGCACAAACCUUGGGGUGUAUGGGCUAGAUUAGAGGGAUCAAGGUACCCUCCCGUGAGUCACCUGAUACACAGGCUUCCCUGAAUAUUCAUGCAUUUUCUCUUCCUGCCUUUUCUGUUUUCUCCUUCUGGCCAGUUGCCUGAAGACCCAGCCAGCCUGACAGCGAUGGGUGCCACACUCCCAGGUCGUCUUUAAAUAGAGCUGCGCAAACAAAUUGGCGGCAAAAGCGAAGAUCUUGUCACGACGGAGGCCGAUCCAAUAUUUCAGCCUUGUUUGCUUUGCAAUUACGGCCGGCUUGUGGCUGCGGUGCCACCGGGCAGAAAGUCUCCUAAUUCUGCGGCAGAAAUCAAGCCCGCGUCCAGUGGAGCGGCUCCUGCAGCAGGGACCUGUCCGCCUCCAGCCUCCUUUGAAAGCCUCCUUUGAGUUGUUUCUGGGGCGCUCUAGUGUGUAAGUGAGCCUCUGGGCGCCUCGGUCACCGCCCAGGCGAGCCUAGUUUGUGUCAGCACAACAGUAGUUAACUCCAAUCACGUCCUAAGCCUUGUAUUUCACAGACAAUUAAAUCUUGGCCGCCGUUUAACAAAAUUGUAAUAUUUACUCUGCUCUAUACCGGGGAGCACUUUUAAAGUAAAAAGCAAAUACAUUUCAAAAACAAAAUAUGAUAAUAAAUCUCUUUUUAUGAUUCCUCUCUGCAUAAGUGGAAGCAAGACGAUUUAAAUCUUCAGCAACUUCACCCUCCCCUGGUUUUCAAACACAGCUGAAGUUACAAGAUGCUGUUUUUUAACGUGGUCUCUAUCUGCCUUUUGGGGGGACAUGCCUGCAUUGUUGCAUUCAUUUAAAUUCCAACAUUUCACACCCCACCUGGACCCCUAUAACAUGAAACAAAGAUGAUUAAGUACUAAGGACUUGGAUAUGAAGUGACCUUUUUCCAUGGACUCAAGAAAGAUAAGUGUGACUUGGAUAAUUAUUUUGUGAUUUCAUACUACUUGCUAAAUGAAAACCUAUUUUCCUCUGGUGCAACUUCUGAAGGAGCUGGGCAGAGGAAUAUUUUUAUGAGAAAACUUCUGGGGUAUGUGUUAAAAUUAAGGACGUGUAAGGUCAGACCUACAUUUGUUUGUUCAUAUUCAAUUCAUAGCCAUUCUGGCCAAUAUAAUUUCUUUCAUACCUAAAAUUAUUUUAGUUUAUAAUCCCAUUUGAAUUACAUCUUCACUCUUCUGUAUCAUCCUCCUGUUGUAACAUUUUGUUUUUCUUGUUUAAAGCAAAUCUCUGUCAUUUAUAAUGGCUUCAUAAAAUUGUGCAACAGCGGAACCAUAGAAUAUUUGAGGUCUACAUAGUCAUGUGUAUAUCUCUCUAUAAUUUCUUAGCCUGAUUGCUUAGCAUUUCAUGCAAGAGGAAGCAGUAGUUAGAAAAAGCUCUGUUUCUUAAGAAUUGUCUUCUUACCAAGAGAAUUGGCUUGGAAUAUUAUUCAGUGCACAAAUUAUACUAUUACUUUCUUGUGUAUUAAUCUGUUUAGUAUUAAAGCUACUAGGGUGCCUUAACUAUUAACCUGUUUUGCCAUAUCACUUUCAAAUGGGUUAUCUCAGAUAAUUAUUAAGAUGUUGAUGUUAAUCCUAUAUUAAGUGAACAACUAUGAAAAUGACCUUAAAGCAUUAUUGUUCUCAUCUAAAUGCCAAAAACACAAUUGUACAGGGAACACAAUUACUUCUUAUCUGACAUUAUCCUGUAGGAUGUAGCUACAUUUAUUUCUUUUAAUCAGAGCAGUUUUAAAUUACUCUUUGUUUGGAAUUUUUUCUUUUGCUUUUUGAGACAGGGUCUUGUUAUGUAGUUAGACUGAUCUUGAACUUAUUAUGUAGACCAGGAUGGUCUCAAAUUUUCAGUGAUCCUCCUGCCUCAGUCUCUCAAAUGCUGGGAUUACAGACAUGUGCCACCACACCCAAAUUUGCAAUUAUUUUUUUAAACAGAAUUUUGUUUAGCAUAGUGUUUUGCAAUACUCAUGAACCACUGCAACUUGAUGCUGACAGAUAUGUUUAUUUCUUCAUUAUUACUCAUUAGCUUUUUUGCAAACCCACUAAAUAGAAUAAUAUUGAAAAAAAUCAACAUAUAGGAACAGUUAUUAGGUUCUACAUACUUAUUUAGGUAAGCCAAUGUGUUAAAAUUAAAAACAUGUGCCUGGCAUAUAAAUGCUUCUUUAGGAUUUUUUUUGGAUGCACACUUAUUAUUUUUUAAAUCAACUCAGAUUUUCAAAUACCAAAUUUUCACUCAGAACAGGCAUUGCAUUGUUUUAAACAGUAGCUCCUGGAACAAUAUCAUCUUUAGUAUUUUAAACAUUCAAACAAUUGGGAUUGGAUAAAUGCUUUCAGCUGAGAUCACUUUCCUAAUACCUUUGUAGGUAAUAGAUUUCUCUAUUUGUGCUGGGUGACAAAUAGUACACUGGACAGACUGCCAGCCUUUUGCAGAAUAUACAAGAAAAUGGAGUUUUUUUUCCCUAUGAAACUUCUUGCAAUUCAUCUACAAAUUCCUGUGAAAUCAGAAAAAUUGUGCUUUUCUAACUUGAGUCACGAAGUGGUGGCUUAAAGAGAUGUAUAAAAGAUAAUUCAGGAGGAAUAUAGAAACACAAAUCUGAAAGAGAAAAUUUGCUCAAGCAGGAUCUGACUAUUUAUGAAUAGAAGAGUGAGAAAUUGGAUCCACAUAACCGAAUAGAUUAUUUUCUUUAAUUCAAUGACUUUAAAAAAUGUUUUUCUAUGGAUAAAGAAACCCAACCAGGAAAAUACAUGCAAAUUUGUUUAUAUGGGAAAAUACUAGCUUAUUGUGAUUUUCAAUAUUACUUUAAAAUGUCUUUGGUGCCAUGGUUCUUUCUAAAUAAAUGAAUGAUUCAACGA